rnacentral:lncRNA from 1 species
ACCAGCCACCACUCCAACUACUCCACCAACCGUAGCUCCAACCGUACCUCCAGCAAGUGCACCAACUUCUCCCACCAUCUCUCCUCCUGCUCCUCCCACCUCUCCCGCUUCAGCUCCAUCCACACCGGUCCCUCCCACACCAUCCAUUUCCAACCCUCCCGGUGAGGCUCCUGCCGUCACUCCCGGCAAUGGAGCUGCCUUGAACAGAAUCUCCGCCGCCGGAUCUUUCGCAGGAGCUGUCUUCGCCGCGGCCUUGUUGCUGUAGAUCUGACACG